rnacentral:rRNA from 1 species
GACGAACGCUGGCGGCGUGCUUAACACAUGCAAGUCGAACGGAAAGGCCCUGCUUUUGUGGGGUGCUCGAGUGGCGAACGGGUGAGUAACACGUGAGUAACCUGCCCUUGACUUUGGGAUAACUUCAGGAAACUGGGGCUAAUACCGGAUAGGAGCUCCUGCUGCAUGGUGGGGGUUGGAAAGUUUCGGCGGUUGGGGAUGGACUCGCGGCUUAUCAGCUUGUUGGUGGGGUAGUGGCUUACCAAGGCUUUGACGGGUAGCCGGCCUGAGAGGGUGACCGGCCACAUGGGGACUGAGAUACGGCCCAGAGUCCUACGGGAGGCAGCAGUGGGAAAUAUUGCACAAUGGGCGGAAGCCUGAUGCAGAAACGCCGCGUGCGGGAUGACGGCCUUCGGGUUGUAAACCGCUUUCGCCUGUGACGAAGCGUGAGUGACGGUAAUGGAUAAAGAAGCACCGGCUAACUACGUG